rnacentral:rRNA from 1 species
UACGUAGGUGGCAAGCGUUGUCCGGAUUUACUGGGCGUAAAGGAUGCGUAGGCGGAAUGUUAAGUCAGAUGUGAAAUACCCGGGCUCAACCUGGGGGCUGCAUUUGAAACUGGCAAUCUAGAGUGUGGGAGAGGAAAGUAGAAUUCCUAGUGUAGCGGUGAAAUGCGUAGAUAUUAGGAAGAAUACCAGUGGCGAAGGCGACUUUCUGGACCAUAACUGACGCUGAGGCAUGAAAGCGUGGGGAGCAAAC